ACAAUGAUACUCCUGUUUAGUCACAGGUCGAGCGUUGAAGCGGCAAAUCUUUUGCCGUGAGCCGUCGCAACCAAUGAGGGCAGCCGGUAGAGAACCUGCCGGGGGUGAGAUUCCCGUGG
rnacentral:ncRNA from 1 species